rnacentral:lncRNA from 1 species
CCAUUACAUAUCGGUCUGCAUCCUCGGGGCCAGGAUGUUCAAUAUUUAACAUUAAUUUCAUAGGGGUACUUCCUCCAGGCUUUCUUAAAGUCAUUCUUUGAAGGAGGGAUCUACCCUGAUUGUCUAUCUUAGAUAAAGCACUUUUGGGUUUAUAACCCCAGGCAGGCCCAGUAUUCCAUCCCGCAGCCCCCCAGUAGUUACAGUCAUAACCCCAUUGUUCAUCUACUACACAAACGUAAGGGUCUUUUGCUUUUGGGAUAUCUUUAUAAAUGGCUUGAAUCUGUGACUUAGGGAAUGGGCAUUCUACAAUAUCACAGUAAUCAAAAGUGAAUGUAGCCACAUGGGUACAUGAUGAAUUAUACCAGAAAGUGUACCCACUAGCAUCUUUGGUGAUGGCCACCUGCUGGGCUUUAAGGAGGCCAACUAAGGAGAUA